UGUAAGUUAUAACCUAUGACUCUAGCA
rnacentral:piRNA from 1 species